rnacentral:hammerhead_ribozyme from 1 species
AUCCAGCUGACGAGUCCCAAAUAGGAAGAAAUGCUCGUUUAGGAU